UUUCCUGUUCAAACAGCACUCCAACAUCUCCAGCACUGUUUCUUUUUUUUUAUAGCAAGACUGAUGAGAAGAGAAACAGAGAGACUGCAUUGCCUAAUGAAGAAAUCAGAAUUAAGUGUGGAAAUUUCCUUGGCCCUUCACAACUAGUGAGAAGUGCAGCAAUAAAAGCACUGUAGAAUAAGAGGAAGGAAGUGCCUUGAAAUGAAACAACACAAAAGUAACAAGAAGAAGAAGAAGAAGAAGAAGAAGAAGAAAGAAAGAAAGAAAUUAACCCUGACUCCUAGGGUCACGGGGGUCUGCUGGAGCCUAUCCCAGCGCACAUAGGGCGAAAGGCAGGGGUACACCCUGGACAGGUCGCCAGUCCAUCGCAGUUCACAACAUCAGCAACAAUAUUCAAAUUGGCUAGGUGCAAAUUUUCAUCUGUUCAGCCUCAGCUUUCUGUUCUUGCCUGACAAAAGAGGAACUUGCCAUGAUUGUAGCCCAUCUGCCUCAAGCAGCAGGAUCCUGCGCUCUCAUUGCCACGGCCUGGGUUGGAUUCCUGGGCAGGGCACUAACCCAGUCAUGGAAGAGUUAAGUCUCAGCGGCAGUCCCAAGCCCGGAUUAAAUAGGAGGGUUGCAUCAGGAAGUGCAUUCGGCGCAAAACCCGUGCCAAAUCGAAAUGUGUGGACCAAAUGAUCCUCUGUGGCGACCCCAAACAGGGAGCAGCCGAAAGAACAACAACAUUUUUAAACAUGUUUUUCAUAUAACAAAUAUUAAAAUGUUUACUAUAACUAUAUAUGCAUCAAGACAAACUUGCCAGAUCUACAAUUAUUGAUUGAUUAAAGGUUGAUGGUUACUGACAUGAUAGAUUUGCAAGUGACAAGUUAAAAUAAAAGAUCUUCUGUGUUAGUGGUAGUAUAAUAAUAAUAAUAAUAAUAAUAAUAAUAAUACUCCAUAUUCAACUAAUAAUAUCCAAUAAUCUAAUAAUAUCCAACAUUAUAUUUUGUUUCAAGAGGCCACAUGUCCCAAGAGACUGACAAAAUAUAUAGCCAAGGUCCAGGCACAGAUUCACAGGUAAACUUCAAAUUCUGCAGCCUUGUGUGUGGGGAUGGGUUUUGACACUAUUCAGGUCAAACUAGAGUCAAAGCAGGGAGAUAUUCAACACACCAAACAUCAGGAAGACUAGUAUGAACCAGGUUUGACUUGGAAAGUACUGUCUAAUCAUGUUACAUUAUUGAAAUCAUACAUUAUCAAGCUGCUGGUUUAGGGUUGGUCCACUGAGGAAGGUCACUGUGUAUGAUGAAAGGGCAUUGUGAGAAGUAGUGUUGUGUAAUCUUUCAUACGCCUGUAUUCUUUGACUUCUCAGUGUCACAUGAACGAUGUGGUUUUGGGGAAAUUCGAAUUGAAGGAGAACAAGACAUCUUUGCCCUGUAUUUUGAAAAAAAAGACAAGUUACUAUUUUGCAUACAUGUUCCUGGAAUUUUGGAGUAGUGUGAUUCAUGAAGUUUCUGAAUAAGGAAGUGAAUUCAGUG